AAACAAUGUGUAUUUUACUACAAUUUGGAAAUCAACAAUAAGUUUGUUGGAAAAGAAGUUCAACUGUUUUUUUUUUUGGAAUACUGAAGAACAGUUUUAACAGGUUAAACUCUUGCCCCAAGAGCAAAAGGGGUAAUCAUACUACCUGAUGUAUGGACUUUUACACCAGGCUUUUACCCUGAAUGAGCUGGCCAACUUGAGGGGAACUGAAGUGGGCAAACCUCGCCCUGUCCUUGAACAAGAAAGCUGGAUUUGUUGAGAGAGUAUCAUUUAAGCUGAAAUCCAGCAUGAAACCAGGGAGGUGAUGGCCAUCGCACAGGCCAUGUGCCGACCAUUCACUUUCCACCAGCUUGUGACUUGCUCCAUGAAGGGAGAAACAACUACAACUGGGUCACCAAGACCAAGCCUCCCCGCUGCUGAGAGAAAUGCAAUCAUUGAUGUCAUAGCCAAAACCUUUGACAAGCCUAUGGUUGAUGUUGAAGAAAAGAUGAGAGGUUGUUUCAGGCAUCUGCGGCUGAUGCACAAGUAGACUGAAGUCUUUGUAAAUUAAAUGUGCUGUUAAAAUGAUUAUUUAACCAUUGUUUUCACUUUGUUAUAUAGAUUUGCACCUGUUUCAACAACAUUAACUUAUUUUUAUGCUCCCGGUAGGGUCUCAUAUAGCAGUUGAACUGUCCGUCUGUCUGUCUAUCCGUCCGAAAACUUUAGCAUUGGUCAUAACUUUUGCAAUAUUGAAGAAAGCAAUUUGAUAUUUAGCAUGCAUGUGUAUCUCAUUGAGCUGCACAUUUUGAGUGGUGCAAGGUCAAGGUCAUCCUUCAAGGUCAGAGGUCAAAAUCCAAUGGAAGAAAUAAGCAAAGAGAGAUAAUUUCUAUACCUGCCAAAUGAUAAAUAGAAAUUUUAUUUCAAAGCGGCGCAGUAGGGGGCAUUGUGUUUAUGACAAACACAUCUCUUGUUUGUAUUUAUUCCAUACAAUCGUACUUUUUUCAGUUCGUUCUUUGUGUUCAAUGUUAUGUUAUAACACUAUUAUAUUUUAUUAUAACAAUGCCAUGUCUGUCAAAAUAGUUUUAUCAUG